UCUCUGAUUGGCUGGCUACAAGAAUCCUCGUCGGUGAUUGGCCAGCAGUAACAGGAGAAGCGCUUCCGCUAAGGGGCGGGACCUUAGAGGGACCGUGCACAUAUAAGGCCUCGCUAAGAGGCGGGACUUCCUUUAAGACACAGCUGCAGGUGAUUUAAUACAGCGGGGUUUUAAUCCUCGGAGUUUGUAAAGUAAUAUAACACAUGCCGAAUUAAUAUCGAGUUUGGACUCUCUGCACCCUGGAGAAGAGGACAUCGGUGUCGGAAGCCGCUGCCAUAUGAAAGUCUGAUUAAAACAUGAUGAUGAGGAGGAGGAGGAAGCCCAGUCCACUGGAGGAGGCCACACACUUCAGCCUUAAGAAGGAAGAUCAAGAUGGUCUGGAAGCUCGGUUUAUAAAUGAGUUUAAAGGGAGAGGUGUGUUUAGUUGUACUGACUUUGAUAAGGGAGAUUUCCUAUUGGGGUACAGAGGGGAUCUCAUAAGCAGAGAAGAAUGUGAGCGGAGGCGAAGAAUAUAUCAUGAUGCCCUCAAAGUGUUCAUGUAUGAAUUUCGAUUCAAUGGCAAAUUCCUUUGUGUUGAUGCAGCCCUGGAUGAUGGCUCCCUUGGGAGACUGGUGAAUGAUGACCAUAUAAAACCAAACUGCAGAAUGAAGACCAUCCGUGUGGAUGGUAACCCUCAUCUUUAUUUGCCAUAAGAAGCAUCUGUCCUGGUGAAGAGUUCACAUACAAUUACGGCGAUUCUGAGUGGCCAUGGCGAUGCAAGAUGACAUCAUUUAAGAAUUCACCGACACCAGAACAACAGGAUACAUCAGAUAAAAAGGCAUCCAAGAAGUUGAUGUGAGAUUGUGACAGUGUGAAGCCAGUGGACCUGAUGCUGAAGAUAACGUUCCUGCUGGUGCCUCUAAUCAUGUAGGUAUUCAGAAGAUGCCCACUGAAACACCUCCUGAAGUUUCUCAAGGUACCUGAGAUUUUACAUUGGAAUAUAGCCAGCAAUGUAAGUACAUGAACCUCCCACAAAAUUCAGGCUUAAUAAAGUAAGUAUUCUUAUGUACAGGUAAUGAGUCCAGGACAAAGAUUGGGAACCCAUGAAUAAGUUGAAGAGUGUGUUGGUCCAAUGCUGAGAUUUUUUUACAACUGUGAUGAAACUUUUGAAAGCACAUAUAACUAAAGGGAAACUCGGCACUUUGUCUGAAUGCCAGCAGUGUUAGACUUUGUAAGAAAUGGAGGUCUUUGCUUGAAAAGGAAAGCCCAAAAUAAGUGAUACACAAGCAAGUACGUUAUUUCUUUGAGAUUUUUUUGUCCACUUAUUUUGUUUUUCAUUUACAUAUGCAGCAGAUUGUUUUUAAAUUCUACAGUUGUUCUUAAAUUCUGCUUUAACAUUUUAUUUUGAAUAACUGGUUUAGGUUUCAUCUUAUGUUUUAUUGAUUAUAUAUAUAGCUAUGCCUUGUUUUAUUUAGAUUGUUUUGAAUGGUUCAAUGGAUUAAGAUGCCUAUGAAAGUACAUAGUUGUACAUGAUGGAUGUCUGUUUCUUCA